rnacentral:misc_RNA from 1 species
UAUGCAAAAGAGUAAGUAUGAUCAUUCAGUGUUCUAUAGGCAGUCAGAGGUUGGCCUAAUUUUGUUACUAGUUUAUAUGGAUGAUAUUGUUAUUACUGGUAGUGAUUCAACAGUAUUUCAUCCUUUUAUUCUUUUAUCAAAACCUAGUUUCAGGCAAAAGAUUUGGGCUUGUUAAAAUAUUUCUUAGCAUAUUGAAGUUAUGAGGAGUAAAAGGCAUUUUCUUGUCUCAAAGAAAGUAUGCCCUUGAUCUAUUGGUAGAAAUAUGAAAAUUAGGUGCCAAGCCUUGUA